UGAACGCUAGCUACAGGCUUAACACAUGCAAGUCGAGGGGCAGCAUGGUCUUAGCUUGCUAAGGCCGAUGGCGACCGGCGCACGGGUGAGUAACACGUAUCCAACCUGCCGUCUACUCUUGGACAGCCUUCUGAAAGGAAGAUUAAUACAAGAUGGCAUCAUGAGUCCGCAUGUUCACAUGAUUAAAGGUAUUCCGGUAGACGAUGGGGAUGCGUUCCAUUAGAUAGUAGGCGGGGUAACGGCCCACCUAGUCUUCGAUGGAUAGGGGUUCUGAGAGGAAGGUCCCCCACAUUGGAACUGAGACACGGUCCAAACUCCUACGGGAGGCAGCAGUGAGGAAUAUUGGUCAAUGGGCGAGAGCCUGAACCAGUCAAGUAGCGUGAAGGAUGACUGCCCUAUGGGUUGUAAACUUCUUUUAUAAAGGAAUAAAGUCGGGUAUGGAUACCCGUUUGCAUGUACUUUAUGAAUAAGGAUCGGCUAACUCCGUGCCAGCAGCCGCGGUAAUACGGAGGAUCCGAGCGUUAUCUGGAUUUAUUGGGUUUAAAGGGAGCGUAGAUGGAUGUUUAAGUCAGUUGUGAAAGUUUGCGGCUCAACCGUAAAAUUGCAGUUGAUACUGGAUAUCUUGAGUGCAGUUGAGGCAGGCGGAAUUCGUGGUGUAGCGGUGAAAUGCUUAGAUAUCACGAAGAACUCCCGAUUGCGAAGGCAGCCUGCUAAGCUGCAACUGACAUUGAGGCUCGAAAGUGUGGGUAUCAAACAGGAUUAGAUACCCUGGUAGUCCACACGGUAAACGAUGAAUACUCGCUGUUUGCGAUAUACUGCAAGCGGCCAAGCGAAAGCGUUAAGUAUUCCACCUGGGGAGUACGCCGGCAACGGUGAAACUCAAAGGAAUUGACGGGGGCCCGCACAAGCGGAGGAACAUGUGGUUUAAUUCGAUGAUACGCGAGGAACCUUACCCGGGCUUAAAUUGCAGAUGGAUUACGGUGAAAGCCGUAAGCCGCAAGGCAUCUGUGAAGGUGCUGCAUGGUUGUCGUCAGCUCGUGCCGUGAGGUGUCGGCUUAAGUGCCAUAACGAGCGCAACCCUUGUUGUCAGUUACUAACAGGUUCCGCUGAGGACUCUGACAAGACUGCCAUCGUAAGAUGUGAGGAAGGUGGGGAUGACGUCAAAUCAGCACGGCCCUUACGUCCGGGGCUACACACGUGUUACAAUGGGGGGUACAGAGGGCCGCUACCACGCGAGUGGAUGCCAAUCCCCAAAACCUCUCUCAGUUCGGACUGGAGUCUGCAACCCGACUCCACGAAGCUGGAUUCACUAGUAAUCGCACAUCAGCCACGGCGCGGUGAAUACGUUCCCGGGCCUUGUACACACCGCCCGUCAAGCCAUGGGAGCCGGGGGUACAAGAAGUGCGUAACCGCGAGGAGCGCCCUAGGGUAAAACC
rnacentral:rRNA from 1 species